rnacentral:misc_RNA from 1 species
UUGUCAUUGGAUUGUCAUUCUUCAACUUGGCUGCAGAUAUCAUUUGUUGACAAAGUGAAGAUAUUUAGUAGCCAGUUAUGUGGUGAUUGUGUGCUUCUUUUCGACUAUUUUAAUGAAGUCCUUGAGGAUGUUUUCCACUGUUAUAUUAGAUGCUCCCCAUGGUUAUCAUCUUAUAAGGCACACAUUCAAGCACCUGAUAAGGAAAGCG